GUGCUAACUUCUGCAGCACAUAUACUAAAACUGAAGUGAUACAAUGAAGAUCAGCAUGGCCUCUGCACAAGAAUGACACAAACCUGUGUUAUGUGUUUCGUUAAAAA
rfam:Erinaceus europaeus unplaced genomic scaffold scaffold00997, whole genome shotgun sequence